GCAGCUGACAAACUGAUGGCAGAUGGGCGUUUCCAUGAUUGAAUCACCCGAGCAAAUACCUCACAUAGCUCUGUGAGGUACAGGAGACACGGAAGAGAAUGGGGCCUUGUAUUGUGCCAAGAACAGGCUGUGUGUGAGGAAAGCUUGUGUGGCUUAACCAAAGGGCCCCCACUUAGAAAAUGAUGCCUUGUAGGAUGUGGUAACAGCUGGAGAUAAUGUGGACCAGUGCUUGGCUAGUGCCCGGCACAGAAGGGGCAGCUAAUAAACACCACUUUCUGCAAAUUAUAACUAAAAGCACACACUGUCAGGAGUGGCUCUCUGAGUGAGUGGGAACAAGAAGAUAUAGAUUAUGAGCUCAUGGCUUCUGUUGGAGACAUACUGGGUCAAAUGGCUUUUAGCCUGCUUAUAUGGAAUGCUAUUCUGAGAGGAGGCAUAGAUGAGAUGUGAGGGUGAGAUGAUAUGUACUGAGCAGAGGUUGUGGAGAGAAAAAGGAGAAAAGGAAAACUGCAGCUCUCAGAAGAAACACACGCACUUCGUUUCCAGACUAAAAACAAUUUGAAGGUAAAACCACUCCGCCACAGGGUUUCUCACUUCCGCUUCUCAACCACUUGGCGUGGAAAUCAUUUGUUUGCUCGUUUUGUUUUUGGCUGCUCAUUGCUGCUCAAAAAACCCAGGUGUAGGGUAGGGGCAGCUGCUUUGGACAGAGAAUGCCAGUGCUGCCUGCACCAAGAUGCAGUGGAGAGGCACCAGACAUCCACAAGGUUCACGCAAGGACCACUGAGAACUAGCCAAACAGAGCACCUCUCAGAAACUCUCCCACCUCACCACAAUGGAACAGGAAAGCCAACAGGAGAGCAAACGAGGUCCGUGAAGAGACUCCGUUGCGAGUAGCUCUUACCAAGGUAUCAACACCGAAUCAACAAGAAAGUGAAUGGUUACCCUGGGGCAGAAGCCGGAAGAGCCCAGAUCGAGAGAACCAGACGUACUUCUAAAAUAAUCUGUAGGCUCAAUUUUAGAGAAAUGGUUUGCUCAGCUGUCUCCCACAGCCUAUGGACUAUAUUUUGUAUAAGAUGCACAUUAUUGAGACAGACUUCUAUAAGGGAAAAGCCGGAGCCACAUGGCUCUACUGUCUUAGCCCUCCAGGACGUUAAUUGGAAAUGUGGACUCUGCAGAGGUGACUCAUCUUGAGUCAGGAUGGAUUUAGGUGGGCCCCCUGAAUCUAAUCAGUGUUUUCCUUGUAAGAAACACAAUGCUAUAUGCGCAAGAAGGCAGCGUAAAACAAGCCAAAGUGUGCUGAGGAUGGCCGGAAGUCACUAAAACCAUGUUGGGUUCGGAUUUCUGGUCUCUAGAACUGUAAAAGAAUAAAUCUGUACUGUGUUA
rnacentral:lncRNA from 1 species